AUGAACGCUGACAGAAUGCUUAACACAUGCAAGUCGAUGGGGAAGUGGUGCUUGCACCAUGGCAACCAUGGCGGACGGGUGAGUAACGCGUAAGGGACUUACCUGCAGGACUGGGAUAACAGGGGGAAACUCCUGACAAGACCGGAUAAUGUCAUGGAGCUGCAUGGCUUUAUGAUGAAAGGAGACGCCUGCGGAGAGCCUUGCGUCCUAUUAGCUAGUUGGUGAGGUAAUGGCUCACCAAGGCGAAGAUAGGUAGCCGGCCUGAGAGGGUGGACGGCCACAAGGGGACUGAGAUACGGCCCUUACUCCUACGGGAGGCGGCAGUGGGGAAUAUUGGACAAUGGGGGCAACCCUGAUCCAGCAAUUCUGUGUGCACGAAGAAGGUUUUCGGAUUGUAAAGUGCUUUCAGCAGGGAAGAAGUAAGUGACGGUACCUGCAGAAGAAGCGACGGCUAAAUACGUG
rnacentral:rRNA from 1 species